rnacentral:rRNA from 1 species
CCUACGGGGGACAGCAGUGAGGAAUAUUGGUCAAUGGACGAGAGUCUGAACCAGCCAAGUAGCGUGAAGGAUGACUGCCCUAUGGGUUGUAAACUUCUUUUAUAUGGGAAUAAAACGUUCCACGUGUGGGAUUUUGUAUGUACCAUAUAAAUAAGGAUCGGCUAACUCCGUGCCAGCAGCCGCGGUAAUACGGAGGAUCCGAGCGUUAUCCGGAUUUAUUGGGUUUAAAGGGAGCGUAGGUGGAUUGUUAAGUCAGUUGUGAAAGUUUGCGGCUCAACCGUAAAAUUGCAGUUGAAACUGGCAGUCUUGAGUACAGUAGAGGUGGGCGGAAUUCGUGGUGUAGCGGUGAAAUGCUUAGAUAUCACGAAGAACUCCGAUUGCGAAGGCAGUUCACUGGACUGCAACUGACACUGAGGCUCGAAAGUGUGGGUAUCAAACAGGAUUAGAUACCCCAGUAGUC